ACCUGGGUGGCUCAGUGGGUUGAGUGUCUGACUUCAGCUCAGGUCAUGACCUCAUGGUUCAUGGGUUCAAGUCCCACGUCAGGCU
rnacentral:tRNA from 1 species